UAUUGGUUUAGCACGGAUCGGGUCGGCAGGAAGUCCGCCAUGUUUCAACCAGCUUCAUCGAUACACGGGAGAGAGUUUGCGCGUUCAUGUGAGGAGCGCGGAAACGCUACUGUCUACUCUACGCCAUAGAAAUAUAAUGAUUUCUAUGUGGAGUCUGUGAUGCCGGAUAUGCAGGAUCUAAAGACUGGAGUCAAGUCACAACCCCAGAGACUGGUUAUCACUACUAUACCUCACGCUAUCACAGAGUUACUGUAACGAUGUGAACUGAGAGUCGGGAAGCAAGUUCAGGGAGUGAAUACAUUUAAUAAACGAAACAAACACAUAACACCGACAGCGCACUGACAUGACACAAAUACAGAUACAAUGACAAC